UGUUUGAUGUUCUAACGUGGACCCGUGAUCCGGGUUGCGGACAGUGUCUGGUGGGUAGUUUGACUGGGGCGGUCUCCUCCUAAAGAGUAACGGAGGAGCACGAAGGUUGGCUAAUCCUGGUCGGACAUCAGGAGGUUAGUGCAAUGGCAUAAGCCAGCUUGACUGCGAGCGUGACGGCGCGAGCAGGUGCGAAAGCAGGUCAUAGUGAUCCGGUGGUUCUGAAUGGAAGGGCCAUCGCUCAACGGAUAAAAGGUACUCCGGGGAUAACAGGCUGAUACCGCCCAAGAGUUCAUAUCGACGGCGGUGUUUGGCACCUCGAUGUCGGCUCAUCACAUCCUGGGGCUGAAGUAGGUCCCAAGGGUAUGGCUGUUCGCCAUUUAAAGUGGUACGCGAGCUGGGUUUAGAACGUCGUGAGACAGUUCGGUCCCUAUCUGCCGUGGGCGCUGGAGAACUGAGGGGGGCUGCUCCUAGUACGAGAGGACCGGAGUGGACGCAUCACUGGUGUUCGGGUUGUCAUGCCAAUGGCACUGCCCGGUAGCUAAAUGCGGAAGAGAUAAGUGCUGAAAGCAUCUAAGCACGAAACUUGCCCCGAGAUGAGUUCUCCCUGAGACUUAGAGUCUCCUGAAGGAACGUUGAAGACGACGACGUUGAUA
rnacentral:rRNA from 1 species